CUCAGUUCGGAUUGUAGGCUGAAACUCGCCUACAUGAAGCUGGAGUUGCUAGUAAUCGCGAAUCAGCAUGUCGCGGUGAAUACGUUCCCGGGCCUUGUACACACCGCCCGUCACACCAUGAGAGUUGGCAAUACCCAACGUACGUGAUCUAACCCGCAAGGGAGGAAGCGUCCUAAGGUAGGGUCAGCGAUUGGGGUGAAGUCGUAACAAGGUAUC
rnacentral:rRNA from 1 species